AUGUGAAAUUAUUUUGAAAAGUGCUUGUUCAUAUCUUUUGCCCACUUUUUGAUGGGGUUGUUUGUUUGUUUUUUCUUAUAUAUUUGUUUAAGUUUCUUACAGAUGCUGUAAUUAAAUUUACUUAUGAAGUAGAAAAAGCAGUGUAAGUUAUAUCUAGAUUUGUAGACUUUGUUGCUGUUGUUAAUCACCCCUUUUGAUUAAACCUGUUUGAAAAAUCAUUUAUCUCUCAUUUUACAAAGUCUGUUAAUGGAAACCUGGCUCCUUUCUCUCCACUUAUGUUACUUGCCUGUUCUAAUAGGGCACAUAGUGCCGUAGAUGUAGAUGAAAAGGCAUAAUCCUCAACUGCCCUUGUCAUCUCCUACUUCAACUUAUUCCAUCCAUUCAAAUCCUUUAGUCUCUUUCUCAGAGAACAAAAGAUUUUGGAUGUUCAGAUUCAGGCACUUACUGAAUUUUUCUGCAUUGUAAAGGCUGGAGGAGAAAAGGUAUUUUUUUCUCUUGGAAGCUAGGAACAAUUUUGCUCCAACAUCACGUGAAACUGAAAAAGUGGGGCUGGGGGUGGAAGAGAUUGUUGCCCAGUGUGCUUCUUCCCUGGCCCAGACUGUGUUUCUAUACAAGUGGACCUCUGAGGACAUACAUUUACCUAACAUCACUUUCUCCAACUUAGGACAACACUGGGCUUCCUGGAAGCUCAGUUCUCCUUACAGGGCAGGCCCAGACUCCCUAUUUCCAGAGAAAUUUCAGGGAUGUUGCUCAAUUGUCAACAGAAGCAAGGGAAACCCAAGCAUCUUAUACUUUUUGUCUUUAUGAUAAUAGAUUUAGCUAGGAAAGUGAGGAUGGAUAAAUUUUGAAGGCUGGUCAACCUUAUAUUUCAUUGCUUAUCUAAGCAACUUCUUUUGUUUUUAAAUUUAACUUUCAUUUUAAGUUCAGGGAUACAUGUGCAUCUAGUUACUUAAUUGCUGCACACACUCAGCCUUAUCAGCCUUAACCUGAUGCCAUAAUGUAGCUUCAACGUAUCACUCUUAGAUUUAGAUCUUCAUCCAAUUCUUCUUUCCUGAACCCUUAGUUUAUAUCCAUGACUGCUUAGAGAUGUGUAGAUGCUACACGGAAGUCUUAAAUAUCCUUGAGCUCUAUAUUCACACAGCAAACUAUUUGGAUUUGCUUUUUAGCCACGCUCCUCAAACCUGUUCUUUUUUCCUGAAUAUCAAUUUUAAUAAAUUGUGCUACCAUCAACCCAGUCUCCUAUAUUAUUCUAGAUUAUUUUUCUUCACUCUACUUUGUUUCUAAACUAAUUGUUGUUUAUUAAAAUUAUCAGUUCUACCUUUCAGAAGUGCUUAAGUCUAUCUGGACAUUGAUUUGGUUCAAACCUCACCAUUUUAAAGAGCCAGCUUAUAAACUACCCCUGCUCUAAACAGGCUAUCCUAUCCAGCAAGGUCACUCAAUCCUGUGAACAGCCAGUGCCAUUCCAAGGGGAAGGCAUAUUAACUCAGAAAAUGCUGACACACCUGACCUUUCAUCCCUGCCACUCAGCAGUUCUACAGAAGACCAAUUUGUAUGCAAACAAUUCACUUACAAGCCAGAAUUCCUACAAGCAUAAUACAGUUUUUCUGUAAACUCUUAGUGAUAGAAUAUGUAUUUAUGAAUUCCUUGGGAAGGGUUGCAAACUCGAAUGACCACAAGGGCCAGCCAGGGAUGGAGUGGGAACUGUGGGCAGGAGGAGAUGCUUUGUAGAGUCCAGAGGUGGCAGUGACUGUUCAGCACCAGAAACAUUGCCAUAUGGGAACUCAGACUUCAGGUAGUUGGGUCUCCUGCAUUUUGAGAGAAGCUAGAAAUGUCUUGGUAUUUAAAUGUUCACAACUAACAUAGGAAUUUAAAAAAAAAA
rnacentral:lncRNA from 1 species